rnacentral:rRNA from 1 species
UACGUAGGGUGCGAGCGUUGUCCGGAAUUAUUGGGCGUAAAGGGCUCGUAGGCGGUUUGUCGCGUCUGCCGUGAAAGUCCGGGGCUCAACUCCGGAUCUGCGGUGGGUACGGGCAGACUAGAGUGAUGUAGGGGAGACUGGAAUUCCUGGUGUAGCGGUGAAAUGCGCAGAUAUCAGGAGGAACACCGAUGGCGAAGGCAGGUCUCUGGGCAUUAACUGACGCUGAGGAGCGAAAGCAUGGGGGAGCGAACAGG